UACGUAGGGGGCAAGCGUUAUCCGGAUUUACUGGGUGUAAAGGGAGCGUAGACGGUUGGGCAAGUCAGAUGUGGAAGCCCAGGGCUCAGCCCGGGGAGUGCAUUUGAAACUUUUCAACUGGAGUGCUGGAGGGGUAGGCGGAAUUCCCGGUGUAGCGGUGAAAUGCGUAGAUAUCGGGAAGAACACCGGCGGCGAAGGCGGCCUACUGGACAGCAACUGACGUUGAGGCUCGAGAGCGUGGGGAG
rnacentral:rRNA from 1 species